GGCAUGGAUCGGUCAGAGCGCACAGAACAUAAAAAACAUUGAAACUCGUACAAGAAGAAUUCCUUAGCAGAGAUAAGAAAAUCAGCUCAUGUUCAUAUAAGAACUAAACCCAUGUACAUCAACAUGAUUUGCUAAUGUGCAGAACACAUUUUCAACACCCAUACACUUGGUAAUCUCCUGCUCACAUAAGCACAACACAUACAUGGGUUAGAGAUGAACACAGACUACCUACAUCAGAAGAAUAUUGCUUAGUGAUCAUGUUAUUGCCAGUAAUUCUUCUUGCCAGUAAGGCACUAAAUAUAUUAAGCAUGCACAAAACUUUUCACUUUGAGAUUGCAAUACUGCUUGGUAUCUGGAAACUUCCACAAAUCGUAUUUUUGGACUCUUAAGUAAAUAUUCCAGCAUAGCGGUUCAAAGAUAUCCACACAUGUGCAUCCCCUCUAAGAUGUCAAGUGUGCUACAUUGAGGAUUUUCUGGUGCAUACACCCCAAAUAUUAUUAACAUGUAUCAUUUGUUUCCUGGUAUUUUACAUGAACAUCCAAACAAUGAAGAUUCUUCUCUUUUGGAUUUAACCAUAAGAUACGUUCAAGUUUGAAACCCCUUUCCAAUCAUGUGCCCAACUAUAGAUGAGAACUUCCACAUGUAGGAUUUCAUUAAAAGAACCAACAUGCAAGCACUUAGCAGUACUGUUUGGACAAAAAAACUAUUUUUUUACUAAGGUGCAAUCGCAAGUAGCAACGACUUACCAAGGACAAUUUGUCAGGCAUAUGUUCAAUGCAUCAUGUCUACAAUGCAUGAUAGGAAUAGUGAUCCAGUCGCUCCAAUUUUCACUUGCCAUCCUCGCUAAUAGAAUAUGUUGAAAGAGCAACUGCCCAAUCAUUGCUUAGAGUGCUUGGAACCAAGAGAACACCCGUCACUCCUUCCAAAUCCUCCUGCAUUAUCAACGGAGAAUACAAUCAAACCACUCUAUCAGCGCAUCAAGAGCAUAGCAGAGCAACACGAUUUGAAUAGGCACACAACACUUGUAAAAUUAAUCAGAAACAAUAAUAAUCAAGCAAUUGUGCAUACAUGUUCCUAAAUCUGGAAGAUGCAUGUGACACCAGAUCAUCCCAUCACCAAUAAGGAGCACGGGGGUGACAGAAAACAGAGAGAUGCAGCGUAUUCAAGUGUUCAUUAUAGAACCAAGCUUGAACUGGGCUUGUAGUCAGUCGGUGGCGCACCAGCACGUAGAAGAUGCUAUGGGUAGGCGGGCCAGAGUUGUGGAUGUGGAAAUAAUUGUCUCCAUGGAGUGGCGCAAGUGGUCAAAGAGCCAUCACAACUAUACUGAAAUUUGCGACUACCUUUGACUAAACAUUUCAUAACUUAACGGGCAAAGUAAUUGAUGACCCUUCUGGGUAUGACAAAAACAGGAAAAUAGCUUCAUAUAUACACUACAGCCGUGUAUAGACACCCACAAGAUGUAAAGUUUCCAACUCCCCUUCAAACAAAUUACUAUCAUAAUCAUUCGUGAACCAAAAAGAACAUACAUAUCGAAUUAAUCUGCAAAGGGCCAUAUACAAUGCAGCCGUGGCCGGCAGGGACAUCCCCAUAGUUUGGCAUUAAUAAAGCUACGGCAUGAGCAGACUUUAGAACAUGGAAAUCUCCCGAUAAUCCAAGCGUCUGGUAUUAUACAAGCAAACAACCUGGUAACCUCUCGAGACCCGAAUCGCUCCCACGCAACGGCGGCAACGCCGAAGCACUACGUGAACAAGCGCAUUUGUAGUAGGAGGGGGUGGGAUGCUUACCGAGUCGCUCUCAUAGAGCCGAUGCUCUGCGGGCAGGCAGGCCACAUAGGUCUCCUGCGCCGUCGCCGCUGCAGCCACCAUCCGCCAUGGACAACGGGCCAGAUCAACCGCCUGGGCCACCCGAGGCGUCAACCUCUGCCCUUCUCGCUGGAGUUCUAAAUUCCCCGCCGGAAUAAAGAGGCUGGGAGGGGAGGAGCAGCGGCGCCAGAGUUGCUAGGGCGAAGGGGAGGGGGCGGCGCCGCCGCGGACAGAGAAGGGGAUCGAGAAAAAGGGAGGGCGAUUCGAUGUGGGAUCGGCUGCGGCAAACCUGGGCUAUACAGGCCAGGAACGCCCCGGCCCACCAAGGACGCGUGCCUUGCC
rnacentral:lncRNA from 1 species